rnacentral:rRNA from 1 species
UGGGUAGUCCGUACGAGCGCACCCUAUCCUUAGUUGCCAGCGAGUAUGUCGGGAACUCUAGGGAGACUGCCGGUGACAAACCGGAGGAAGGUGGGGACGAGGUCAAGUCAUCAUGGCCCUUAUGGGCAGGGCUACACACGUGCUACAAUGGACGGUACAGAGGGCAGCGAAGCGGCGACGUGGAGCAAAUCUCAGAAAACCGUUCGUAGUCCGGAUUGCAGUCUGCAACUCGACUGCAUGAAGUCGGAAUCGCUAGUAAUCGCGGAUCAGAACGCCGCGGUGAAUACGUUCCCGGGCCUUGUACACACCGCCCGUCACACCAUGGGAGUGGGCUGUACCAGAAGUAGGUAGUCUAACCUUCGGGAGGACGCUUACCACGGUGUGGUUCAUGACUGGGGUGAAGUCGUAACAAGGUAGCCGUAGGGGAACCUGCGGCUGGAUCACCUCCUU